CGCGGCCUAUCAGCUUGUUGGUGAGGUAAUGGCUCACCAAGGCUUCGACGGGUAGCCGGCCUGAGAGGGCGACCGGCCACACUGGGACUGAGAUACGGCCCAGACUCCUACGGGAGGCAGCAGUGGGGAAUAUUGCACAAUGGACGGAAGUCUGAUGCAGCAACGCCGCGUGCGGGAUGACGGCCUUCGGGUUGUAAACCGCUUUCAUCCAUGACGAAGCGAAAGUGACGGUAGUGGGAGAAGAAGCACCGGCCAACUACGUGCCAGCAGCCGCGGUGAUACGUAGGGUGCGAGCGUUGUCCGGAAUUACUGGGCGUAAAGAGCUCGUAGGCGGUUUGUCACGUCGUCUGUGAAAUCCCUCGGCUUAACCGGGGGCGUGCAGGCGAUACGGGCAGACUUGAGUACUACAGGGGAGACUGGAAUUCCUGGUGUAGCGGUGAAAUGCGCAGAUAUCAGGAGGAACACCGGUGGCGAAGGCAGGUCUCUGGGCCAUUACUGACACUGAGAAGCGAAAGCAUGGGUAGCGAACAGGAUUAGAUACCCUGGUAGUCCAUGCCGUAACCGUUGGGCACUAGGUGUGGGGUGCUGUCCAUGUACUCCGUGCCGUAGCUAACGCAUUAAGCGCCCCGCCUGGGGAGUACGG
rnacentral:rRNA from 1 species